rnacentral:misc_RNA from 1 species
CCGAGGCGGAAUUGCUGUGGUUGCAAAGAGAAUCUUGAACGUGUCUCCGACGGCUGAUGAACGAGCCAUUUUGAUCCUUGCAAUGAUCUGUAAAUUCUCAGGAACAAGCAUGGUUCUCCAAGAAAUGUUGAAUGUUAAAGCUGUGUCAAAGCUUUGCAUGAUGCUCCAAUCUGAUCGUGCAGCUUAUUUGAAGGAAAAAGCCAGGGAAAUCCUUAGAUCACAUUCUGAUGAGUGGAAGAACUCUCCUUGCAUUGAUAAUGCUUCCCUCUUGUCAAGGC